GACAGAGGUAGCUAGCGUUGUUCGGAAUGACUGGGCGUAAAGGGUGCGUAGGUGGUUUGAUAAGUAAAGUGUGAAAUGCUAGGGCUUAACUUUAGCGCUGCACUUUAGACUGUUAGACUUGAGUACGGAAGGGGGAAGUAGAAUUCUUCAUGUAGAGGUGAAAUUCGUAGAUAUGAAGAGGAAUACCGAAAGCGAAGGCAGCUUCCUGGGACGAUACUGACACUGAGGCACGAAAGCGUGGGGAUCAAACAGG
rnacentral:rRNA from 1 species